rnacentral:rRNA from 1 species
CCUACGGGAGGCUGCAGUGAGGAAUAUUGGUCAAUGGGCUUACGCCUGAACCAGCAAAGUCGCGUGAGGGAAGAAUGCCCUAUGGGUUGUAAACCUCUUUUGUAAGGGAGCAAUUGGCGCUACGUGUAGCGUUAUCGAGAGUACCUGAUGCAAAAGCAUCGGCUAACUCAGUGCCAGCGACCGCGGUAAUACGGAGGAUGCGAGCUUUAUCCGGAUUGAUUGGGUUUAAGGGGUGCGUAGGCGGAAUGCCAAGUCAGCGGUAAAAUCGCGGGGCUCAACCUCGCUCCGCCGUUGAAACUGGCGUUCUGGAGUGGGCGAGAGGUAUGCGGAAUGCGUGGUGUAGCGGUGAAAUGCAUAGAUAUCACGCAGAACUCCGAUUGCGAAGGCAGCUCUCUGGUCUGCAACUGACGCUGAGGCUCGAAAGCAUGGGUAGCGAACAGGAUUAGAUACCCCAGUAGUC